rnacentral:rRNA from 1 species
UUGGGCCUACGGGAGGCAGCAGUGAGGAAUAUUGGUCAAUGGGAGAGAUCCUGAACCAGCCAAGCCGCGUGAGGGAAGACGGUCCUAUGGGUUGUAAACCUCUUUUGUCGGAGAACAAAACUCGGGACGAGUCCCGGACUGCGUGUAUCCGAAGAAAAAGCAUCGGCUAACUCCGUGCCAGCAGCCGCGGUAAUACGGAGGAUGCGAGCGUUAUCCGGAUUUAUUGGGUUUAAAGGGUGCGUAGGCGGUCCGUUAAGUCAGCGGU